AUAGUUAUAGCGCCCGAACUAAGUUUUAACGAUUAAAAUAAAUUUAGUUGACGAGGAAAAAAGUUAUCGAAAAUUCGGCGGAUGCUUUUUCGGAAUAAAGAGUUUCGUAAAGCGACAUACAAAAUUUGCUACGCAUAUACAAAAUUGUUG
rnacentral:ncRNA from 1 species